AGUGAACGCUGGCGGUAGGCCUAACACAUGCAAGUCGAACGGCAGCACAGUAAGAGCUUGCUCUUACGGGUGGCGAGUGGCGGACGGGUGAGGAAUACAUCGGAAUCUACUUUUUCGUGGGGGAUAACGUAGGGAAACUUACGCUAAUACCGCAUACGACCUACGGGUGAAAGCAGGGGAUCUUCGGACCUUGCGCGAUUGAAUGAGCCGAUGUCGGAUUAGCUAGUUGGCGGGGUAAAGGCCCACCAAGGCGACGAUCCGUAGCUGGUCUGAGAGGAUGAUCCGCCACACUGGAACCUAGGCACCGUCCCGACUCCCACGGGAGGCCGCCGUUGGGAAUUUUUGACCAUGGGCCGCAGCCCGGUCCCGCCCUUCCCCGUGGGUUGAGAAGGGCCUUCGGUUUUUAAGCCCCUUUGUUGGGAAAGAAAAGCAGCAGGUUAAUACCCCGCUGUUCUGACGGUACCCAAAGAAUAAGCACCGGCUAACUUCGUG
rnacentral:rRNA from 1 species